GACGAACGCUGGCGGCGUGCUUAACACAUGCAAGUCGAACGGAAAGGCCCUGCUUUUGUGGGGUGCUCGAGUGGCGAACGGGUGAGUAACACGUGAGUAACCUGCCCUUGACUUUGGGAUAACUUCAGGAAACUGGGGCUAAUACCGGAUAGGAGCUCCUGCUGCAUGGUGGGGGUUGGAAAGUUUCGGCGGUUGGGGAUGGACUCGCGGCUUAUCAGCUUGGUGGUGGGGUAGUGGCUUACCAAGGCUUUGACGGGUAGCCGGCCUGAGAGGGUGACCGGCCACAUUGGGACUGAGAUACGGCCCAGACUCCUACGGGAGGCAGCAGUGGGGAAUAUUGCACAAUGGGCGGAAGCCUGAUGCAGCAACGCCGCGUGCGGGAUGACGGCCUUCGGGUUGUAAACCGCUUUCGUCUGUGACGAAGCGUGAGUGACGGUAAUGGGUAAAGAAGCACCGGCUAACUACGUG
rnacentral:rRNA from 1 species